GCUCGGGGAGGUAGUGACGAAAAAUAACAAUACAGGCCUCGUACGAGGCCCUGUAAUUGGAAUGAGUACACUUUAAACGCUUUAACGAGUAUCCAUUGGAGGGCAAGUCUGGUGCCAGCAGCCGCGGUAAUUCCAGCUCCAAAAGUGUAUAUUUAAGUUGUUGCGGUUGAAAAGCUCGUAGUUGGAUUUUGGGAUGGCGCGUUCGGUCGGCCGCAAGGCUUGCACUGGUCGCGCUGUCCUCACGUGGCCGGCGCCUCCGCGGUGCUCUUAACUGAGUGUCGCGGCGGUCCGGCAAGUUUACCUUGAAAAAAUUAGAGUGUUCAAAGCAGGCUUAAAGCUUGAAUAAUGUUGCAUGGAAUAAUGGAAUAGGACCUCGGUUCUAUUUUGUUGGUUUUCGGAGCGCGAGGUAAUGAUUAAGAGGAACGGACGGGGGCAUCCGUACUGUGCCGUUAGAGGUGAAAUUCUUGGAUCGGCGCAAGACGAACGACUGCGAAAGCAUUUGCCAAGAAUGUUUUCUUUAAUCAAGAGCGAAAGUCAGAGGUUCGAAGACGAUCAGAUACCGUCCUAGUUCUGACCUUAAACGAUGCCGACUAGCGAUCGGGCAGUGUCAUACAUAAGACCUGCCCGGCAGCUUCCGGGAAACCAAAGUCUUUGGGUUCCGGGGGAAGUAUGGUUGCAAAGCUGAAACUUAAAGGAAUUGACGGAAGGGCACCACCAGGAGUGGAGCCUGCGGCUUAAUUUGACUCACACGGGGAAUCUCACCCGGCCCGGACACAGCGAGGAUUGACAGAUUGAGAGCUCUUUCUUGAUUCUGUGGGUGGUGGUGCAUGGCCGUUCUUAGUUGGUGGAGCGAUUUGUCUGGUUAAUUCCGAUAACGAACGAGACUCUUACUUGCUAAAUAGAUGCUCGACCCUUUGCGGUCGGAGACAACUUCUUAGAGGGACUAGUGGCGUAUAGCCACACGAGAUUGAGCAAUAACAGGUCUGUGAUGCCCUUAGAUGUUCGGGGCCGCACGCGCGCUACACUGACCGGAUCAACAUGUGCUUCCCUUGGCCGAAAGGCCCGGGUAAUCCGUUGAACCCCGGUCGUGCUAGGGAUAGGGAAUUGCAAUUGUUUCCCUUGAACGAGGAAUUCCCAGUAAGCGCGAGUCAUCAACUCGCGUUGAUUACGUCCCUGCCCUUUGUACACACCGCCCGUCGCUACUACCGAUUGAAUGGUUUAGUGAGGUCCUCCGAUUGRACCUGGAGCGCUCUGAAAGGAGCGCGCCGGCGUCCGAGAAGACGAU
rnacentral:rRNA from 1 species